UGCAACCACAUCAAGUUGGGACAACGUAUCCCAUACGAUCGUUGAAGUUAAGCAACAUCGAGCUUGGUCAGUACCUAGCUGAGUGACCGCUUGGGAAAUAUCAAGCGUUGCAA